CCAUAGUUGGCCCAUAAGCAAUGUCUCCCAGUGUAGAUCUCCCAUUUGGACCAGAUCUGGCCUGUCUAAUGCUUCACAUUGCCAGUGUACAGGUAACUGCCAAAAUAAAGGAAACACUUCAGUAAAUAAGGGAUACAAAGUAUAUUGAAGGCAGGUGCUUCCACCCAGGUGUGGUUCCUGAGUUAAUUGAGCAAUUUUGGCUACACUCUUAGAAUAGUGGACCACAAUGGAAACAAGUCUUUGACUUUUUGUGAGUAUAAUCUUCGUCAAUGUAUUGGUUGCCUGGUGUGUCUUCUUUAUGUAUUUUAAAUUGUCAAAUUACUAUUAUAAAAAAAUAUAUGAUAGAGCAAUCUGAUGCCCAUCUGGAAACUCGAUAAUGUGUUGCGUAACCAUUAGUUACAAUGCAACAUCUGCAAUGUAUUCGGCCUGGAACCUUCUAGUACCAUGUCUUAAUGAGGAAGGAAAUGACAUAAGCCCUGACUACAUUUAAUAUGUAUACCACAUACUUAGUUCCUGUUUCCAUACUGCCAGUAAGUUGUCUUACAAAACCUCUCCACUUCACUCUGCUGUAGGGUGGGAGAUGCAACAACCGCCUUGAGAACAGCACGAAGUGUGUUGGUGGUCUUUCUCUGGUCUGUGUCGUGGCAAGAAAGGAGAUACAUGGACAGCAUAUCUAAACCUGAGUCGAGUAAAGAUUGACCCCCUGAUCUAUGAUUCGUAGAUGUGGGAGAGGUGAGCACCUAUCAGUUCCUGCUGCUGUCCUUCACCCCUCAGUGCAGACUUCUGACCAUCGCUUAGGCCAGGAAGAAGUCAGCCAAGUUCAUCGCCAUGCAACGCACUACUGAUUGAGGAGACCAUGAGAAGGGAGUAGGCCACCUGACCAACACCAUUGCUGUGUGUGGUUAAAACCUCUCUAGGCUAGGCGUGCCGCUAGCGACCCACCUCGACAACAUCCGGUGAAAUUGCAGAGCGCCAAAUUCAAAUGACAGAAAUAGUCAUAACAAACAUUCAUAAAAAUACAAGUGUUAUAUAUCGACAUAAAGAUUAACUUCUUCUUAAUCCAGCCGCUUUGUCAGAUUUCAAAAAGGCUUUACGGCGAAAGCAUACCAUGCGAUUAUCUGAAGAC